rnacentral:rRNA from 1 species
CCUACGGGCGGCAGCAGUGAGGAAUAUUGGUCAAUGGACGAGAGUCUGAACCAGCCAAGUCGCGUGAAGGAUGACUGCCCUCUGGGUUGUAAACUUCUUUUAUAUGGGAAUAAAACAGGGUAUGCAUACCCUCUUGUAUGUACCAUAUGAAUAAGGAUCGGCUAACUCCGUGCCAGCAGCCGCGGUAAUACGGAGGAUCCGAGCGUUAUCCGGAUUUAUUGGGUUUAAAGGGAGCGUAGGUGGAUUGUUAAGUCAGUUGUGAAAGUGUGCGGCUCAACCGUAAAAUUGCAGUUGAAACUGGCAGGCUUGAGUAUGGUAGAGGUGGGCGGAAUUCGUGGUGUAGCGGUGAAAGGCUUAGAGAUCACGAAGAACUCCGAUUGCGAAGGCAGCUCACUGGACUGCAACUGACACUGAUGCUCGAAAGUGUGGGUAUCAAACAGGAUUAGAGACCCGAGUAGUC